UAUUAAUAAUACUAAAAAUAUAACAUGAGAAUGGCAAUGAGGUGGUUGGUUGUUUCCAUAUGUUCUCCUCGAUUAUGUUGUAUUUGUAAGUGCUUUGAAUGCACUAAAACGUCUUGAAUGUCUAUCAUCCUCUAGUUUUAUAUUAUUUACUAGUUACUUUAGCUGAAUUAUGUUUGAUAUUUGAUGGUCUUGCUAGAGACUAGGUGUGACUUAUUCCACAUGGAAUAAGACAAACAUCAGAAAGCAAAUUUCAAGUCCAUAAGCAAUUAGUAAGCAAAUUGGAAGUCAUAAUCCUCAUUUUUGGCCGGCUUUUAAAAGGAUUGCUGGUGUAAAUAAUGUUAAAUUUCUAAUAUGCUGAACAAACUUCCAUUUUUAUUUUGCAGAUCCUGGUGCAAGUGCUGAUCUAGCUGUGGUGUUGAUGCAAGAAGGAUUAGCCCAUAUCCUCCUUAUUGGUAAAAGGGUUCUUGGAAAGACCAGGUUAUACACAACUGCAGAUUGAUCAUGAGGACCAUGCUGCCGAGUUUCUGAAUUUAUACACAAUUGCAGAUUCUGCCCACAAAAGGCUCCAUCCAAAGAGUUGAUAACACAAGCAAUAAGACAUCAACACUGCUCAAAAGAAUUUGAUACUUAGAAUUCAAGAUUGAUUAUAGGAAUUUUGUAAAGUAGAGAUAGGAUAUAUUUGAUACUGAAUUCAACACCGCUUGUUCUAUUGUAAAAUAUUUUUAAAUAUAAUGAAUUGAGUAUCUUUGUUUCACUA